UCUCUGUCUCUCUCCCUCCAUAACCGAUCUUCUCCCUUUCUCCCUUUCUCUUUCGCUUGCUCGCUGCCAACCACUGAUUGUCGCCGUCGUUCAAGCACCGGACUAGGAAGACAGGUGAUGGGGGCCUACGACUUGGGUCGUGUGACAGGGAGGCUCGACUCGUGGGUCUACGGCGUGGCUCGCUCAUGGGUGCGACGGUGCUUGCGGCGGUGGGUCUACGGCGUGGCUCGACUCGUGGGUCUACCACAACUUCCCUCCCCAUGUUUCCCGUCAUCGACCGAAGAAGCUCGUGCCUUGAGCGGCUUAAUCCGACGCCUCGUCCAACAACGUCGCCAUUCUUGGAGGGUCGGUGGAGUUUCGAAUGGUUUGGGUCUGGAAGCCUAGGUUUAUUGGCUUCCUAAAAAUUUUACAAUCAAAGUUUUCCUGUCAUCAGAAUUGAAAAGCUUUAUGGUGGGAAGGCCUGUGUCGACCUUCGGAUACCCGAUGCUGACACUGGCACUCGACAGAACAUCGACCUGGUUCUCCUCACCAAAGGGUAUGCAAAUUUCUUUCCCAAAAUUAUAAAUUAUAAAUAAAAACCUCAUCUUUAUGUUCUCAACAGUGCUCACAAAAUUCAACUUCACUGCCAGUAAUUCCAACUUCACUAUCCAAAAUAUAAACAGAAAUGGUGGUCGCUCAUUAUUGUCUUGAAAAUUUGGGUACUUAGUACUCUGCUCUGCACUUCAUUUGUUUAUGUGUUAAAUUGAUUUUUUUGAUAGUCACAUUAUGUUUCUUUGAUUAAGUUAGAUUCAUAGUAUUGGAAGUAGGUGUAUUUGUUGGGAGUUCUUUGAUUAAGGCAUACUUUGAAAAUUGUUGUAUUUUUGGUGCAAGAAUACUGUUUGAUAAAAUGUUUCAAAGAGAUAUUGUGUUAGAGAUAAAGAAACAUUUGAGGAAGCAACAACAAGAGGCAGAGAAAGAUCAAAGAUGUUGAAAGAAAGAAGAAGUUGAACUAAAAAGGCAAUGAUUUCUUUUGGUUGCUUUCUUGAUAUGUUAAUAUUUGCUAUUAUGAUGUUAUUACUAAAGGAAUUCUACCCAUAUCAAAAGUUAAUAAUAGAGUUAUUAAUGUGGACAUAUAUAUAGUGUAUUUGUGUUAAUUAAUGUUUGUAACGAUUUGUCUGUAAAUUUUUUAGUUUGACUGCUUAUGAUGGUCUGUAUUGCUUUUUUAAAGUAUAUUACUAAGCUUUUAAAUAAUGCCUUAGAGGUGUUUGAAUGAAUGAUUCACUAAGAUAUAUGUGAAUAAUUUCUUAUCAGUGAGGAAGUUGGAUUUUUGGCCCUGAAUUUUUUCUUAGCGUUGAUUAUUUAAGAGUCCAUAAUUGUAAGUGUUAGUGUAAGACCCAUGUAUUUAUGCUCUUUAGCUAUAAAUAUAUAUAAAUGGCUUUAUGAGUGUGAAUGAGGUAAGUUUUAGUUAUAUAUAGUGGGAUGUGCUCUGUUCCAUAAUUUUUCAAAUAUUUCUAAAGAAAUAGUUACAGAGUCAAAUUGGACCAGUGAGUUAAAUGAUUUCAAGGAAGCAUCAUAGUAUCACUUUUAUAUAAUUAAUUUAUGAUGUUCUGAAAAAAUUUCUGACCAUAGUUCAUACUUAUUAUAUAAUAAAUUGCCAAGCUUUUACAUUAUUUUAGAAGUAAUUUAUAUAAAAUAAAUUAAAUGCACUUCUUUCUUUUUAACUCCAUAUUAGCUUUAGAUGUCUUGUUUAGUUAUUCCUCUUUGAAAGUAAAUGGGUUCAAUAGAAAGAGAUUGUGGGUUCUUUAUCAUCAGUAUAUCAACCACAGAGACCUCUUCUAGAGACAUCAUCAACAUCUGUCAAUUCAGCUGCAACUGGACAUGCGAGUGGAGUUGAUUGGCAAGAAGAGGUUUACCAGAAGGAACUGUACUUACCUGAACUUCAUGAAUUGUAUCAGAAAAUUGCUGGCAAAUUACAGCAGGUACGUUCUCAUUUUUACUUACAAGGAUCUGUUAAAAAAUAUAUGAAAUUUAAUUAAAAUAAACAAAUUAAUGAAAACCCAUAGUAUAAAAGUAGAAAAGGGAAAGAAAUUGAAACUUUUUUAGCUUAAGUGAACCUUUUCUUAUACUGUAAGCUUACUUGAAGGUAUCUUUGGUAUACUAUGAUUUCCUUUUUGGGUCCUUAAUUCUGUAUUUUCAUUUUGGUAUAUAUAAUAAUUUUAGAAUUGGGUUGUGUUGUUGGAUUUAUUUGCUUGGUGUUUUUUCUGUUCUCAUUUGCUACUAAACAAAAUACAUUCAUUUUCUGAAAGUGGGCUUCUUGGGAAAGCUUUGUUUCAGUUGCUUUUACUGUUGUUAGCACCAUAUAGUUAUGAAUGAGUGAACUCAUUGGACAUGAAAAAUGUUGUAAGUUGAACCUCAAGAUCUAAGAACCUGUUCACACAAUGCGACACAAACACAAAUAAUAGAACAGAAAAAUAAAACUGAAACAUAAAGAACAAUGAAAACCAAGAAUUAUACUGGCUCAGCUUAUAAAAGCCUACAUCCAUUCAGUCUGGAGGACCACCAUGAAAAUCCACUAUCAAAGUCAAUGAAAAUACACCCUCACAGUUGAGUGAUAAGCCUCAUAAUAAAUCUCACUAUACAAUCUGCACUCAGUUAUCCCAAACCCCCAGCACAACCAUGGAAGCACUUUCUCAACAGUUGAGUUCCAAAACUCUCAAACUCACAACAACUUUGCACUCUUUCUCACGGGUCAACAAGUUUUCUCAAAAUGACUUGUGUCCCUCAAAUGAAUAAAGCUCUAGCUUUUUUAAUAAAGGCUUUCCUAAAUUAGAAGCCAAGAACCGUUGCUCUGGUUCUUGCUUACUAAAACAGGCAAGUUAGUUGUUAUUUUAUUAUUUUAGGAAAUGAGACUUUGAAGCUGUUUGGUGUUAUUCAUUUCUUGUUUGCAAGAGAAUCUCCAUUCAAAUGUUUGGUGGUUAUGUGACAUUCAAAUUUCUAUUCCUGCUUGUUAAUUUAUUGGAACAUAUAUAAUACAGUACUAAUUGAAUAUAUAUAUUUAUAUAUUGUUCUGAGAAUACUCCUUGCACUCAUGUCCAUGGUAUAUAUAGUUUCUCAUUGGUUUAAACAUUGAUUUAUGUUUUUGCUUGUGUAUUUCUCUCUUGUUUUGGACAUUUAGCAUUAGCUAGUUAGAUUAAGUUUAUUUUUCAUUAAAAAUAUUAAUUUAUAAUAGAAAAACUUGUUUUAAAUAAUUGGGUGAAUCUUUUAUAAUGUUAUCUAAUGGUGAUCAUAUUUUAUUUUCUCUGUUUAUGACAUUAAAUAUGUUUUUUCUUCUUCUAUUUGUUUAGUGUACAUUAUUCUAUAUUAAAAAUAUCCCCUUUCCAUUUUCUUUAUUGUGAUUUUAAAAUAAAUUGUAGAAGUUAUGGAACGAUUGGUGCCAAUUACCAUUUAGCUUUCAUUCAUAUUUGGGCUUGCAGCAAUAUUGAAAUAACAACCACAUGGAACUAAUGAUUUGAUCUGACCCAAUGAUUUUGAUCCCUUAUUGGGGUGCUUUUGGUGCAUUUUUCAUCAACUAAAACUUGUUAUGGAUUCACUUAUAUGGGUAUUUUGGCUAACAGUAAGCAAUAUUGAAGAAAUUGGGCUAAAACCUUUAACUGAUUAAAAUGCUACAGAAAAUUUUCAGGUGCAUUUUUUUUAUUAUUGUUUUUCUAUAUGAUUAUGUUGGAUAAUAAGCAAGUGUAGAUAAUUCUCUUAUCUUGUUGGUACAUAUUGACAGAGUUUCAAGUUCUGCAAUCAAUUUUAGACCUUAUGUUGGAUAAUAUAUAUACAUAAUUUUAGACCUUAUGUUAUAAGCUACUGCAUUCAUACAUAUAUAUUUGGAUAUAAUUGUAGAUUUUCUAUCUGUUAUAAGCUACUGAAUCCAUACAUAUGCAGGUUCUGGCUACUAUACAUCUCAUUAACAUGAUUUGAAAUUUGUGUACCACAAGCAUAUUGCUGAAAUAUCUUGUCCAAAUGUUUCUUGUGUGUAGUUAAUUUAGUAAUACUUUGAAUUGAGAUGUUAUGUUUUAUUAUGUAUAGUGGUGGAGGAGAUUAAAAAAUGUUUCAUUGUAGAAAUACCCAGCUAGCUUUAGAAGAUUUUUUAGUCUUUUACUAAGCACCAUUCUAAAGAGUAGUUGGACAUGAGCUUCUGCUUAGAUGAGUUUUUGUUGACCUUCUAGUGUCACCUGUGGUCUUUAAGCAUUCCUCUAUGAAUUGUAUAUUUGAUCAAUUUCCCACUUUAAAACUCAGUGCCCUUUUUCACUUUGAUAAGUUUGACUCUUUUAUUUAUUUUUUUAUUGAUGACUUUGAAUAUCUUCUAAGUAACUAGUAAGUAUAUUUUGAAUAUCUUCGAAUGAGUAAAGGAGUAUUGUUUGUGAGAAACUAGAUGUGCUUAGAUAAUACUAUUCCCACCAUGACCGUCAAGACCUCAAUAAUUUUUGGUAAGUAUAUUUGCUUUUUCUGGUUUUAGUUGGUAAUUUCGUUUGUUUUCCUCUGCAACUAACUGAGCAUAUAUAUUUCAUUUCCUAACAUCUAAAACAAAACAUGGAUAAUGGAAACUUAGGUCACUUGGGACAAUUGAAAAGUUCAGAUAAUUAGAAUAAAGAAAACUAAAUGUUUACACAGUCUUACAGUAGUUGUAAUGUGGCCAUUUUAGAGCCAUGGAAUGUGGUUCCAUGUGGAUGCUGCAUAUGUUGGAAGUGCUUGUAUAUGUCCAGAAUAUUGCCAAUACAUUGAUUGUGUUGAAGAAGUUGACUCAUUUAACAUGAAUGCACAUAAAUGGCUUCUGACAAACUUUGAUUGUUCUUCACUCUGGAUCAAGGUAUGUGAGUACCAUUAAUGCACAAAAAAGGCUUCUAACAGUAGCGAGUUUGAUUUUCCAUGCAUUCUGGUACAUGAUCAUGAAGAGAGAGUAUAUAUAUUGUAGCAGUUAUCUAACUUGCAGGUCACUUUAAUGUAUAACUAGUCUUUUGUGUGUGCUGGUUUUAUUACUUUAAAAUAUCAUUUCACUAAUGCUAACUCUUCUCGCAAAUGGACAGAGAAAAUUGAAGAAUGAUGCAAGAAGUUGAUCAGGAUAAUGUGAGUAUUUCUCUGAUGAUUAUUCUGUUACUGCACCAAUUGAAUGGCUGUAAAUUAAAAUUCAGAGAUUUAAAGAGUUGUUUUCAUUGCAUAGGGCAUAUGAUCAUUCAAAUUUUAUUUUGAGCCAUUAGUUGUUUUGUUUUGCAAAUAUCAAGAUGGACUCAUUAGAAUUUAAGAUCUUGUUUCUGUGGUUGAAUUUACUUUUUCUUGAAUUUCUUGAAUUACCUGUGUUUUAGGGGUAACAGAAGUGUUUGUACAUUAGUAACAAGGUUUUAGUUGCUGGCAUAGUUUGGUGGCCAUAUAUCCCAAUGUCCCCACUCAAGGGCCUUAAAAACAGAAAGAGGUCUUAGAUCACUAUUGGGUUCCAUGACUAAUGAGUUGAUUGAGUAAUCAAGAUAAUGAUUUAGACAAAAGAUUUAUAUUUUUUAAUCAACUGGGGCUCACUUUUGUGUUUGGUGUUCAUCAGGGUUAUAAUAUACAUUUCUUUCAUCCUUUUUAUUUAUCUUUUAUAAGGUAAUCUAAUUUCUGUGCUGUAUGUUAGUAUUUGAUGUUGAAUUGGUCCACUGUUAAGAGUGCAAGUUCUUACUGUAUGUCCUGAAACAAGUUCUAGCUAGUGAUAAAUCAUAGCUAGAAGUUUCCAGGUGCAUUUUUAUUUUAUUGUUUUUCUUUAUGAUUUUGUUGUAUAAGAAGUCAAAGUGUGAUUCUGUUUUUAUUCUUUAAUUUAUUUGGGGAUAUAUUGACAGAAUUUAGAGUUCUGGAAUCAAUUCUUCCUCACAUACUUUUUGAUCAUUGAGAAUGAUAUAUUUGUUAUCUUGAUACAUUUCACAAGCCUUGUUUUAAGUUGCAUGUUUUGUUGCUUCAGUCGUUGUUUUGCAUGGUAGUAUAUCUUGCUAUACCCUGCUGUUUCGUCAAGUUUUGGAGUUAUUACAAAUUUAAUUUAAACUUUAUAUGCUUACAGGUGGAAACUAGCUUACAUCUUAUGUUCUUAAUAAUAAAAGGACUUUUUUUUACAAUGUGCAUGUAUAUUGAGAUGAUUUCUUUGGAACAAUUCUUGACAACAUUUGUAGUUGACGCCUUUAGAAUGGAAGAAUGUAUUUCACUAAUUUUUGUAUACAUUUCUUGUUUUGUAUUUAGUGAUAAAGGAAUCUGAAUUGGGCAUAAAUUAUGUUGUAAUAUGAUUUCUUAAGCCUAGACUAGUAGAUUAAAUAUUGUAAUUACAUUUGAGUAAUUAAUAAAAAUCUAUUUAUGUUA